AGCCAUGUGGGCACCACGGCCCUCACUAAAGGGUUGCUCCCCCUCCUCAGAAGGCAGGGGCUGGGGCCGGGGCGGGGGUGGAAGGUAGGCGCCGUGUUCAAGCACAGAGACGCUCUGCCCGCUUCCUGAAAGCUAGAGUCAGGUAGAUGCUAAUAGUUGCGUCUGGAAAACUCCGGACAGCGUGCACUUAGACCUUCAUGUGGUUGGGGGUGGCGAGGGGGCGGCUGUGGGCCCAGGCCCCGACGUGAGGCCCACUCAAACCCCGCAGAAACCUCUCUGGCUAGAGGAACCUUCUCUUGCUGAAACCUCAGGGCUGGCUCCCCUGGCUGGGAGCACGGAGAAAGUUCUAGAGCGGGAGUGCCAGCUGGGUGUUGGCAGGGGCAGCGCCGGCCCCCCCCCCCCCACUUGGGGGACCUCGAGCCCAAGACGUGGACGGUCUCUGCUCCAGAGCCGGGUCUCCUGUCUGCAGGGAGGUCUCCCCUCUGCAGCCACAAGUAUUCAAACCAGUUCCCUGAUGCCCACCAUGCAACCUCUCCCUGGGUCCUCCCCCGGCUUCUGUGCUGGAUGGGACGGGGCGGGGGCUCCUGCCUCAGCCCUGCCGCACCUCCUUCUCCAGCUCUCGUCUCCCUCUGCAGCUCUACCUGCUUAUUAAGGUCUCCCUUACGCAAAAAACCCCCGCUCUGGGUGCCCCCUGCUUCCCUCGCCAGCCACGCAGGCUUCUACUGCAUUCUGCUGGUAGAGUAACCCAGCGGCCCCUUUCUCCUCACUCCUCCAUUCAAGGCUCUGCUCCCUCUCCUGCUCCGCACUGCAUCCCCCCAGUCCUGCCCAGUCUCCUCCAGGUAUCCGUUCCAGGCAGUUUACCAGCUAGUGCUUUAGGUUCUCGUUCCCCCACGGAAUCCUCCGCUUUUAAACAGGGCCUCAGGAAGUGCUCAGUGACGCCUUUCUGAGCUUCCUUUUUCUCCUCAAGUGGUAAGUAGCCUCAGGUCCCGCAGACAGCUCUGGGCUUCGUCCCCACUCUGAGUGCUGAAACACGGUUCUGUAUCCGCCUUCUGCGUUCCAUCCAGUCAGUAAAUGCUUUGAGCAUCUAUCCUAGGCCAACUUUUGUAUCUUUCCUCCCACCUCUUCCCAAGCUGGGCCGCACGCAUUUCUCCAACAGCCCCUCUCCUCGUCCCCAUGCCACCUUUGCACGGAAGCUGUCUCCCACUCCUACCCUCGGGCCCUCACUUCCUCCAGAAGCAAAUAGCGAAUUCUCACAAUGCUUUGCUUGCGACCUCCUAGGCCAGGUUAUUUGAGUUUCCUGUGUCCUCAGGGUGCCAUGCAUACAGCAGGUACCUAAUGUAUGCAUCUCAGCCCCCCACAGAUAUCCCACACCACAGCCUAGGUCACUUAGUUUGGGGAAGCUGUCUUUCCUCUGCCCUCCAAUUGACAAAGGGGUUGCCAAUCUGUUACUCGUCUGGAACCUUUUCUCUACAAAAGAAUAUAAGCCAUUCGCAUUUGUUGAAGGCUGACUGCGUGCCACGCACUGUAACAAAUGCAAAGUUUCUCUUACGCCAAACCUGGCAAUACAACCCUUGCCUCAUAGUCGGAGAUAGGCAAUCCCCUGCCAUACUAGGUGAUGGAAUUGCGAUUUGAACUCAAGGCCCAUGUAUUAACCUGAACCCUAGAUGGCUACACAAUUGAUGAGACCGUGCUAUUAAGUGCAGAAGUCAUCAUGUCUUUUCCACGGUCCUGGCGUCCUCAGUGUCGUGUGUGUGCGCGUGUGUGUGUCAGGAAAAGGCGAGGGCAGCCUCUGCGAAGUUAACAGCAGAGAAGGCCAUAUGUUGAGUGGUUAAGGCGGUCAUCGAGUAUCACUUUCUCAGAACAGAAUUGAGGCUAAUGGUGUCGCCUCUACCACAGGCAGCCCUGACCUUUUAUCACCUCUAGCGCGAGGUGCCGUGAUGAAAACAUUGAUGAACGUGUACAACCUCAGGGUGAUUUCUAAGCCUGACACCUAAGGCUGAAACCAGAAAGGAAAAGAUCGACAGAUGUAAGUAUAUUAUAAUUAUAUAUUUUUCUCUUUAAAACUCUGGAAAAAUCAAGCAGAGAAUAAAAAUAAAACCCUUCUAAUAAAGGGCUGUUGGCAUAAAAAGAAUGAGGGAUCAUCAAACUUCUUCUGUAAAGGGCCAGACAAAAAUAUUUACAGUGCUAUGGGCCCCCUACUCAACUACCCAGCUCUGCCCUGUAGUGUGAAAGCAGCCAUAGACAGUAUGUGAGCAAACGGACAUGGCUGUGUGCCAAUAAAACUUUAUUCGCCACAACAGACGGGGGGCCAGAUCUGAACAGGCCAGUUGCCAACUGGUGUGAGACUUAGUGUACCAGCCCCUCGUAUAUACCAUGGCAGAGCGGUGUUUUUUCACCUACUUUUUUUUUAGGGGGGGAGGGGAAUAAAGCCAAUGCCUCUUACUUGUGAUGUUCCUCAAACAACCCUGGGUGUUUAUGUCUACAAACUUGGAUUUCUCUUAGCAUCCCACUCUGCCCUGGGAAUGUUACGAUUCCCUUGAAGGGCCAGACACCUGCCAUACUGACUUGCAUUCAGCUGAGCUCAGAGGUUCUCAAACUUUACCUUGCAGCACAGCUGCUCAGAGGUGCAUGUGGAAAACCACACGGAUGCACACGCGCUCGGCCGAAUCUCCUCUCGAGACCCAUGCUUGGGGCAAGGAGGCUGGACCAGGAAGCCGGUGACGUGUGUUCGGGGUGAUUCUGUCCCAACUGCCGUGAGGUAAAGCUGCUGGGACAGCUGAGGGAAGUGUCAGCAAGUCUUAUCAGCAGAGCCCAUCCUUCCAGAAUGUCCAGGCCACUGUGUGUGCUGAUGGGCGUGGCAGCUGGCAGUGAAUUUGGGUGCGUUUUCAGAACAGCUUGCAGAACAGCUGCUCAGAGGUGCAUAUAGAAAACCACAUGGACAUACACGGGAACCCUUCAGAAGCCCCAGCCCGAUGAGCCAGGGAGAUGUCAGGAGGCACGUAACCAACAACACCGCCGGCUGACUUCUGGUGAGUGUACGUCGUGUGCUGGAUCGAAUCGGCAUGUGCACAGCAUUCGGUCACAGCAACAGCAUCUAAACAGCCGAGGCACAGAAAGAGAGUCUUACUUAACUGGAUACACCAAGCAACAUGUACAAAACCAAAAAGGAGCUGGUCCAGUGCAGGAGCAGAACUCUCAAGAGCUACACAAAACAGCCCUGCCUCCUGCAGGCCACGGAGCUGCGAAUCAGGGCCGACUGAAGAGAGAAAAAGGUACACGCUAGCUUCUGCAGCAAAGAACGUCAGAAUUACACGAGGAAUCGAUUCAAACGUAACCCUCCUUCAGGCUUUUCUAUUGACUCGUUUCCUUCUUACAAGUGAUAGAACCUCAGUGCGCAUGCAAAUUCAUAAGACUGCACGUUUUCUUCCUUUUUUUUUUUUUUUUUUUUUGGUUGACAGUGAAAAAAAGUUCCUAUUUUUAUAGCUCCUGCCCAGUCAGCACACGGAGGGCCCUUAAAAGGGGGUGGUGAUGAGUGUACAUUACAAGCAAUAAACUCCCCCUCUACAGCA